rnacentral:rRNA from 1 species
UACAGAGGGUGCGAGCGUUAAUCGGAAUACUGGGCGUAAAGCGUGCGCAGGCGGUGAUGUAAGACAGGUGUGAAAUCCCCGGGCUUAACCUGGGAACUGCAUUUGUGACUGCAUCGCUGGAGUGCGGCAGAGGGGGAUGGAAUUCCGCGUGUAGCAGUGAAAUGCGUAGAUAUGCGGAGGAACACCGAUGGCGAAGGCAAUCCCCUGGGCCUGCACUGACGCUCAUGCACGAAAGCGUGGGGAGC